rnacentral:rRNA from 1 species
UACGUAGGGUGCGAGCGUUAAUCGGAAUUACUGGGCGUAAAGCGUGCGCAGGCGGUUCGUUGUGUCGGCGGUGAAAGCCCCGGGCUCAACCUGGGAAUGGCCGUUGAAACUGGCGAACUGGAGUGUGGCAGAGGGGGGUGGAAUUCCGGCGUGUAGCAGUGAAAUGCGUAGAGAUGCGGAGGAACACCGAUGGCGAAGGCAGCCCCCCUGGGCUGACACUGACGCUCAGGCACGAAAGCGUGGGGAGCAAACAGG